UGCUCUAAAUGGAUGCAUAAGGUAUAUAAUACAUUAGAAUCCAUAAGGUUCCAUGUAGAAGGUUCUAAAAAGAUAAGUAAAGGAAAAGGGAUCUAAGGUUCUAAAUAGAUACAUAAGGGAUAUAAGGCUCUAUAUAAGGGGAGAUAAAUAUAAGGCUGUCAAUAGCUACACAAAACACAGCUGUGUUGUGUUAGGUGUGUGUAUUGCCAAGCCUCCCUGUAGAGUGUGAGCGGCAACAACCUGCAGAUCCUUGGCCUGGUGCGCCAGGAGGACUCCGGGAUGUACCAGUGUGUGGCGCACAGCUCGCCGGGGACGCCCAGCUGUGUGUCCUUGAGUCAAAGGAGCAAGACCCUGGCGGUGGGCACCCCCAGGCCCCCUCGGCUGCUGCAGGCCACCUCCACCAGCAACAGGUUCAUCACGCUGGCCUGGCAUGAGCCGGAGCUCAACACCGACCACACUGUGGGAUACUCAGUCGUCUACAAGCAGGAAGGAUCACUCAGAGAACGCGUCCAGAACGCGAGUGCAGCUCCUCCAGCGAGGGACUGAGUGAAUACAAGACCCAGAUCAGCGACCUAAGUCCCGGGAGUAACUACAUGGUGCGGGUGGCGGCCCACACCUCCGGCGGCCUGGUGGGCGCCUCCAUACACGAGGCGCGGGUGUUCACCAAGCCGGACCUGGACCUGCCCUCCGCCCCAGAGUCUGAAAGUUGUCCCCACCUCACCCACCAGUCUGGAGGUCACUUGGUCGCCGCCCGGAGUGGCCAAAACGCCCAUCACUGGAUACGCCAUGCUCUAUACGCAGGUGUGGACGGCCUUAUAGAGCUGUGCGCCAAAUGUGGAGUCCCUUUUGCCUAACAAAAGUCUCCCCAUAUCCUUGUGUGUCAUUAGUGACCUUCCUUGGAGUACAGGGUGACCAUAGCCGUGUGUUUGUAGUUUGGGUAGGCGGUGGCUGAACCGAUAACAAGACGGCCCCGCGUUCAAGAGGACUCGAGUUCAAUCCCCGGCCGGUGCCACCAAGCUGGGAUUUUUCAGCCGCCGCCGAGUGGCUUAAAACUACCCACAUGCUGUCCAGAAGACCACCCAUCAACCCGGACUCUAGAUUCAAGCAUUAAAGAUGAGCUCCGGGAGGGCAGCAUGAGCCAAUGCAAGAUGGCGCCACUAUAAACACUCGCCUGCGCCAGAACAGGCUGGGCCGACCAUCAGGACCCACCGGGAAGAAGCCUUGGACCGACCAUCAGGAUCCACCGGGAAGAAGCCUACCGGCGCAAUAGGCCAAGACGUAAAAAAAAAAAAAAAAGUGCCAGUGUGUAUCUUAACCAUUGUCUCCCUUGUAAUUUUCUCCUCAGGUUGGGUCAGCAGAAGAACACGAGGUAGAGGUCACUGGUACGUCACAUGACCUCCAAGGCCUGGACCAGUUCACAGAGCACAGUGUGUGGCUCACCGCCGUCAACAGUAAUGGCGGGGGAGACGCCAUCCCGGAGGUCACUGCCAGAACCUUCUCAGACGUGCCCUCAAAGGAGCCUCAGAAUGUGAGCGUUGAGGCUGCCAGCUCAAGGAGCCUCAUCAUCCGCUGGGAGCCUCCGCUGGCCGAGCACCAGAAUGGGAUCAUCACCAGCUGCAAGAUCCGCUACAAGGAGCGUGGCAAGUCAGGUUCCUCCAAGACCAGUGCCACAGAUGGAGACAGAUGACUCUUUGCCCUCACAGACCUCAAGAAUCCCCUCCCAAGGUGUGCAGGACCUUAUAUUUCUCUUCAUUGUAGCCACAGACACUUUUUGUUCUCACUGUUCAUUUCCCAUUUCCUUCUGGUUCUCCUCCUAUUAGCCUCUCUUUCCUUUCCUUACUGUUCAUUUUGUUUUUCCUCCUGCUGUUACAAUUUCCCUGUUUGCCCUGCCAAAUAUUCUCCCGUCAUUCUCCUGCGUCUUACUUCUCCGCAUUUCCUGGUCUGCCUUCCUUCCUUCCUCUUAUACUUUACAUCUCCAUUUCUCCUCCUCCUUCUUUUCCAUGUUUCCCAUCUCUCAAGUUUCCUUCCCUUAUCCCAUUCUCCUCCUCCUCCUCCUCAAUGAUUUUGAUGUCGAUGGAACUUAGAUUUAUUCAUUUUGUUUCAUUUCAUCUCUCUCUCAGGGGGAAGACUUACACACAGUUAUUUUUUUACUUCAUUUAUUUAUUUCUUGAUACAUCUUAUUGUUCUCCUGAUCUCUCUCUCACACACACUCUACUAACAGGGAGUUUAUGCCAAGGGUGGUGUCGCUUCAGAGAGGGAGAGAGUAAGGGGGAAGGGGUCUUACAUAUGUGUCUGGGGGGCAUGUGUCUGUGGGGUUUGUAAAAAUACUGUCGGGGACAUCCUGUGGGGCCUGUGAGCUGUGGUGAGGAGAGAGAGAGAGAGAGAGAGAGAGAGAGAGAGAGAGAGAGAGAGAGCAGUCAGCUUCCAGAGCACAUAGUAAAGUCAACCCACAUCCAUGCAAAACAUCAACUUGGGUUAUUACUAGAGUGAAACCAUUUUAGUGAGUCCUUUGAGGCAUUACUCCUGCAGGUGCUUUCCUGCCCUCUGCUCUGCCACUCAGUCCCAACACUUCCUGUAGACAACACAUGACAGGACUGUGUGGCAGGGGAGGAAAGGACCUGCAGAAGCCUACCCCACAAUGGACUUACUAAAAUGGUUUCACUCUACCACUACUAUUAUUAUUACUGUCAUUUCUGCUGCUGCUACUACUACUACUACCACUACAACAGCUUCUUCUA